AUCCAAUCUGGAGCUGCCUACACUCGCUCUGAGAAGCGACAGGCUGAAGCAGUAUAGAGAGCUUUUAAAUUGAAUGUGCAAGAGGUCACCAAAGAGCUUGAGAACACCACAAAGGUGUUUGAGCUGCACAUGGAAGAGUUACGCGCAAA